ACCCCGGGUGUUGCCUAGUAACGGCGAGUGAAGCGGCAACAGCUCAAAUUUGAAAUCUGGCUCCUCGCGGGCCCGAGUUGUAAUUUGUAGAGGAAGCUUUUGGCGCGGCACCUACUGAGUCCCCUGGAACGGGGCGCCAUAGAGGGUGAGAGCCCCGUAUAGUGGGAUGCCUAGCCUUUGUAAAGCUCCUUCGACGAGUCGAGUUGUUUGGGAAUAA
rnacentral:rRNA from 1 species